rnacentral:rRNA from 1 species
GACGAACGCUGGCGGCGUGCCUAAUACAUGCAAGUUGAGCGCUGAAGGUUGGUACUUGUACCGACUGGAUGAGCAGCGAACGGGUGAGUAACGCGUGGGGAAUCUGCCUUUGAGCGGGGGACAACAUUUGGAAACGAAUGCUAAUACCGCAUAAAAACUUUAAACACAAGUUUUAAGUUUGAAAGAUGCAAUUGCAUCACUCAAAGAUGAUCCCGCGUUGUAUUAGCUAGUUGGUGAGGUAAAGGCUCACCAAGGCGAUGAUACAUAGCCGACCUGAGAGGGUGAUCGGCCACAUUGGGACUGAGACACGGCCCAAACUCCUACGGGAGGCAGCAGUAGGGAAUCUUCGGCAAUGGACGAAAGUCUGACCGAGCAACGCCGCGUGAGUGAAGAAGGUUUUCGGAUCGUAAAACUCUGUUGGUAGAGAAGAACGUUGGUGAGAGUGGAAAGCUCAUCAAGUGACGGUAACUACCCAGAAAGGGACGGCUAACUACGUGCCAGCAGCCGCGGU